rnacentral:rRNA from 2 species
AACUUUCAACAACGGAUCUCUUGGUUCCCACAUCGAUGAAGAACGCAGCGAAAUGCGAUAAGUAAUGUGAAUUGCAGAAUUCAGUGAAUCAUCGAAUCUUUGAACGCACAUUGCGCCCCCUGGUAUUCCGGGGGGCAUGCCUGUUCGAGCGUCAUAA